GGCUGUUGAAAUACAUUCCUGUGCCGGCAAUACAGUGUGUAUGGAGGUCUCAAUGGCUCGGAAGUGCCAGCAAACCGGCGUAGAUAUUAGCAGACGUAUGGGCGUAAGACUUUUAUUGAAAGAAACUUCUUUAC
rnacentral:sRNA from 12 species